UUGAAUUUUUUUGGAACUUUUUUAUGUUUUUGGAUUUUUGGGUUGGAUGACUUUUUGGUGGUAAUAGGUGUCUUCCUCUACUCGUUUUUGGCUGUCAAUUUUUUUCUACACUUUUAGGAGUAUUUUGUGCAAGAAAUUGCAUUAAAAUCUUGUGCCUAAGGAAAAUUGAAUUUUUUUGGGAACUUUUUUAUGUUUUUGGAUUUUUGGGUUGGAUGACUUUUUGGUGGUAAUAGGUGUCUUCCUCUACUCGUUUUUGGCUGUCAAUUUUUUUCUACACUUUUAGGAGUAUUUUGUGCAAGAAAUUGCAUUAAAAUCUUGUGCCUAAGGAAAAUUGAAUUUUUUUGGGAACUUUUUUAUGUUUUUGGAUUUUUGGGUUGGAUGACUUUUUGGUGGUAAUAGGUGUCUUCCUCUACUCGUUUUUGGCUGUCAAUUUUUUUCUACACUUUUAGGAGUAUUUUGUGCAAGAAAUUGCAUUAAAAUCUUGUGCCUAAGGAAAAUUGAAUUUUUUUGGGAACUUUUUUAUGUUUUUGGAUUUUUGGGUUGGAUGACUUUUUGGUGGUAAUAGGUGUCUUCCUCUACUCGUUUUUGGCUGUCAAUUUUUUUCUACACUUUUAGGAGUAUUUUGUGCAAGAAAUUGCAUUAAAAUCUUGUGCCUAAGGAAAAUUGAAUUUUUUUUGGAACUUUUUUAUGUUUUUGGAUUUUUGGGUUGGAUGACUUUUUGGUGGUAAUAAGUGUCUUCCUCUACUCGUUUUUGGCUGUCAAUUUUUUUCUACACUUUUAGGAGUAUUUUGUGCAAGAAAUUGCAUUAAAAUCUUGUGCCUAAGGAAAAUUGAAUUUUUUUUGGAACUUUUUUAUGUUUUUGGAUUUUUGGGUUGGAUGACUUUUUGGUGGUAAUAGGUGUCUUCCUCUACUCGUUUUUGGCUGUCAAUUUUUUUCUACACUUUUAGGAGUAUUUUGUGCAAGAAAUUGCAUUAAAAUCUUGUGCCUAAGGAAAAUUGAAUUUUUUUUGGAACUUUUUUAUGUUUUUGGAUUUUUGGGUUGGAUGACUUUUUGGUGGUAAUAGGUGUCUUCCUCUACUCGUUUUUGGCUGUCAAUUUUUUUCUACACUUUUAGGAGUAUUUUGUGCAAGAAAUUGCAUUAAAAUCUUGUGCCUAAGGAAAAUUGAAUUUUUUUGGGAACUUUUUUAUGUUUUUGGAUUUUUGGGUUGGAUGACUUUUUGGUGGUAAUAGGUGUCUUCCUCUACUCGUUUUUGGCUGUCAAUUUUUUUCUACACUUUUAGGAGUAUUUUGUGCAAGAAAUUGCAUUAAAAUCUUGUGCCUAAGGAAAAUUGAAUUUUUUUGGGAACUUUUUUAUGUUUUUGGAUUUUUGGGUUGGAUGACUUUUUGGUGGUAAUAGGUGUCUUCCUCUACUCGUUUUUGGCUGUCAAUUUUUUUCUACACUUUUAGGAGUAUUUUGUGCAAGAAAUUGCAUUAAAAUCUUGUGCCUAAGGAAAAUUGAAUUUUUUUUGGAACUUUUUUAUGUUUUUGGAUUUUUGGGUUGGAUGACUUUUUGGUGGUAAUAGGUGUCUUCCUCUACUCGUUUUUGGCUGUCAAUUUUUUUCUACACUUUUAGGAGUAUUUUGUGCAAGAAAUUGCAUUAAAAUCUUGUGCCUAAGGAAAAUUGAAUUUUUUUGGGAACUUUUUUAUGUUUUUGGAUUUUUGGGUUGGAUGACUUUUUGGUGGUAAUAGGUGUCUUCCUCUACUCGUUUUUGGCUGUCAAUUUUUUUCUACACUUUUAGGAGUAUUUUGUGCAAGAAAUUGCAUUAAAAUCUUGUGCCUAAGGAAAAUUGAAUUUUUUUGGGAACUUUUUUAUGUUUUUGGAUUUUUGGGUUGGAUGACUUUUUGGUGGUAAUAGGUGUCUUCCUCUACUCGUUUUUGGCUGUCAAUUUUUUUCUACACUUUUAGGAGUAUUUUGUGCAAGAAAUUGCAUUAAAAUCUUGUGCCUAAGGAAAAUUGAAUUUUUUUGGGAACUUUUUUAUGUUUUUGGAUUUUUGGGUUGGAUGACUUUUUGGUGGUAAUAGGUGUCUUCCUCUACUCGUUUUUGGCUGUCAAUUUUUUUCUACACUUUUAGGAGUAUUUUGUGCAAGAAAUUGCAUUAAAAUCUUGUGCCUAAGGAAAAUUGAAUUUUUUUUGGAACUUUUUUAUGUUUUUGGAUUUUUGGGUUGGAUGACUUUUUGGUGGUAAUAGGUGUCUUCCUCUACUCGUUUUUGGCUGUCAAUUUUUUUCUACACUUUUAGGAGUAUUUUGUGCAAGAAAUUGCAUUAAAAUCUUGUGCCUAAGGAAAAUUGAAUUUUUUUGGGAACUUUUUUAUGUUUUUGGAUUUUUGGGUUGGAUGACUUUUUGGUGGUAAUAGGUGUCUUCCUCUACUCGUUUUUGGCUGUCAAUUUUUUUCUACACUUUUAGGAGUAUUUUGUGCAAGAAAUUGCAUUAAAAUCUUGUGCCUAAGGAAAAUUGAAUUUUUUUGGGAACUUUUUUAUGUUUUUGGAUUUUUGGGUUGGAUGACUUUUUGGUGGUAAUAGGUGUCUUCCUCUACUCGUUUUUGGCUGUCAAUUUUUUUCUACACUUUUAGGAGUAUUUUGUGCAAGAAAUUGCAUUAAAAUCUUGUGCCUAAGGAAAAUUGAAUUUUUUUUGGAACUUUUUUAUGUUUUUGGAUUUUUGGGUUGGAUGACUUUUUGGUGGUAAUAAGUGUCUUCCUCUACUCGUUUUUGGCUGUCAAUUUUUUUCUACACUUUUAGGAGUAUUUUGUGCAAGAAAUUGCAUUAAAAUCUUGUGCCUAAGGAAAAUUGAAUUUUUUUUGGAACUUUUUUAUGUUUUUGGAUUUUUGGGUUGGAUGACUUUUUGGUGGUAAUAGGUGUCUUCCUCUACUCGUUUUUGGCUGUCAAUUUUUUUCUACACUUUUAGGAGUAUUUUGUGCAAGAAAUUGCAUUAAAAUCUUGUGCCUAAGGAAAAUUGAAUUUUUUUGGGAACUUUUUUAUGUUUUUGGAUUUUUGGGUUGGAUGACUUUUUGGUGGUAAUAGGUGUCUUCCUCUACUCGUUUUUGGCUGUCAAUUUUUUUCUACACUUUUAGGAGUAUUUUGUGCAAGAAAUUGCAUUAAAAUCUUGUGCCUAAGGAAAAUUGAAUUUUUUUGGGAACUUUUUUAUGUUUUUGGAUUUUUGGGUUGGAUGACUUUUUGGUGGUAAUAGGUGUCUUCCUCUACUCGUUUUUGGCUGUCAAUUUUUUUCUACACUUUUAGGAGUAUUUUGUGCAAGAAAUUGCAUUAAAAUCUUGUGCCUAAGGAAAAUUGAAUUUUUUUGGGAACUUUUUUAUGUUUUUGGAUUUUUGGGUUGGAUGACUUUUUGGUGGUAAUAGGUGUCUUCCUCUACUCGUUUUUGGCUGUCAAUUUUUUUCUACACUUUUAGGAGUAUUUUGUGCAAGAAAUUGCAUUAAAAUCUUGUGCCUAAGGAAAAUUGAAUUUU